AAGGCUAGGAGGAAAGACCCCACUGAAGAGAGAAAGAGAAAACCUGUGUCUACACUUAGGUGUAGUCACUGCCAUGAAUUGGGGCACAACAAAAGGUCCUGCCAAUACAAUCCAAACAAUGCAGGAAGACCCAAAAAAAAGAGAAGAACAAUCCCAACCAUGGAAAGCCAGUCAGCUAAAAGUCAGUUUGGUUCAUCUUCUUCCUCACAGCAUCCAGAGUCACAGAUACAAUGAAACUGGGGAUUUCCCUUAUGUAAAUUUUUUGGAUAAUUGCUCAAUUGCUCAGUUAUAAAUUUUUUGGAUAAUUUUUUGGUUCAUCUUCUUCCUCACAGCAUGUAAAUUUUUUCUAUAGCUCAGUGAAAUGUUCUCUGCAUGUAAAUUCUUUGGAUAGCUCAGUGAAAUGUUCACUGUAAGUAUUCUGUGUAUUCUGUGUUAAUUUAUAAAUUAGUGCAUAUGAGGAGUAUUCUGUGUGUG